UCCUGAUUCAGAUCAAACUCUGUGUUGAAGUGAAUCUGUCCUGAUUUAGAUCAAACUGUGUUGAAGUGAAUCUUCUGUAAGUGAAUCAUGAUGAUUGUGAAUGUGUUUUUCAGUGAGGAAUGAAACUGCAGCGACUCCAAACUCAGGUGAGUUUCAGCUGAUAAACGUGUGUCUAAUUCACUAAUAAAAUACUGAUUCAGAUCUGAUUCAGACUCAAUCCAGUUUGAAUGUGAACAGGUCUUUGUUUUAUGUCAUAUUGUCUGAUAUUUGUGAUCAUUGCGUGUUUUAAAGAUGUUCUGGAUGAAGUGACUCCGUCUCUACAGCUCACAGAUCACUUGUGGUGGAUUUCUGUUCUCGUCAUCAUCUUUCUUUUGGCAUUUCUCUGUUUCAUACUGCGUAAAAGGAUCUUCAGAUGGAAGCGCGGUUGAUCUGUCAACGUGAGGAUGAUCCAGAACAGGGAUCUGGUAUCUGAUGAUCCUCGUUCACUACAGGAAUCUUCAGUGUCCAGAUGAUGAUCACCAUCUGAUGCUUUGAAUCAACAUCACGGCUCAUUUUUAAUAUGCACUCGCCUUACAGCACCUUGUUUAACCUUCACAACGAAGUACGAAGUAGAUUUCCAGACCCUUCAGUGUCUCUGUUCCUCUCUGUUGAAAUGAGCUGCUGGCCUCCAUACAACCUUCAAGAAGCAGCUGAAGACACUUUUCCUGCAUGCACUUAACUAACCAACAACCUUACAUCAAGGCACUUUACUAAAAAAACAUUCCCUUCUUCUCUGUAGAGGUGUAUAUAUAUAUUUAUAACAAAAUACAAACAUUAAAUGUGGUUUUGAUGCUCUUUAAUGAGGUGUGAUGGAUCGCUUUAGCCGACUCAUCUCAAGCAGCUCAUGAAUUAAUCAUCUCUUCCUCUUUACUACUAGUUACAGCACCAAAUAAACAUGAAUGAACAUCAGAAGAUACAAAAAUCACUUUAAAAAAUGAGGUACAUGUUGGUACUAAACUAUCAUUUUUGUGAAUGGUUACACUGAAUUUCACCUCUGUUUUAGUAAGCUUUCUAAUAAAUUUGCUAUUAUGUAUGUCACGAUUUUGU